AAACCGUUCAGGGGUAAACCUGAGAAACCCGAAAGAUCGAAUGGGGAGAUUCAGCGUCAGCGGCGUUGGCUCGGCGAAGUGGACGAUGUCGCGGACUACGGUAUCGCGACACGUUAUCACUAUGCCGCGUCCGGCGUCGUCGUCGUGCACUUCUCCCCUAGUAGAACGUCGCGACCCGUUGGGUGCCGGUCUACGGCCCGUGGUGUAAGACUGUCGCGUCGCUUCGGCGCACGCGGCAGACCCUCGGUUGCCCGGCCGGCUGCCCGGCGGUAUAACGCACGGUAUCUGGCCGCAAUUUUUGAACUGCGUCGGGCCCGCCGCAAGCGAGGCCAGUGUCCCGGAGGUACGGACCCGGUGCCGUCCCCGAGCCUGGCCAGCUGUUGGCAGGCGGAGUCCUCAGACGGGCAGAAAUAAUGGUACCGGUCGGCGACGCUACUGCUUUGGGUACUCUCAGGACCCGUCUUGAAACACGGACCAAGGAGUCUAACAUGUGCGCGAGUCAUUGGGAUCUAAAAGCCUAAAGGCGCAAUGAAAGUGAAGGUCGGCUUCGCGUCGACCGAGGGAGGAUGGGCCGCGCUACGACGCGGCUCCGCACUCCCGGGGCGUCUCGUUCUCAUUGCGAGAAGAGGCGCACCCAGAGCGUACACGUUGG
rnacentral:rRNA from 1 species